GUGAAAAGUGAAAACCCCUACACAUUGAGAUUAAAUUAUCAUUCAUUCAAGAUUUCAAUCACAUUGUCAUAACAUUAUUCAUUUAAGAUUAAUCGAUUUUCAUUUUAAACCAAACAAACAACAAUGUCGUAUGUUGCUUCUUCUCCUAAUUUUCAAAAACUCCAAAACCCUAAAUUCAUUCGCUUCUUCUCCUCUUCACCUAAAAGCCUAUACUCUCAAUUCCACAACCAAAAUAAAGACGAACAAAAUCUCGUUUGCUUAUUCAAUCAAUUGCUACUUCAAAACAAUCCAUCCAUCUUCCGAUUUAACAAAAUUUUAGGUUCCUUUGUUAAGCUCAAUCAAUACUCCACUGUUGUUUCACUUCAUCGACAGAUGGAAUUAAAUGGAAUUUCCUCAGAUUUAGUCACUUCCAACAUAUUGAUCAAUUGUUUUUCACAAUUAGGUCAAAUCUCUCUUUCCUUUUCUGUAUUUGCCAACAUUCUCAAAAAGGGUUUUCAUCCAGAUGUCAUAACAUUGACUACACUCAUUAAGGGUCUCUGUCUCAAAGGUCAGAUCCAUAAAGCAUUCAACUUUCAUGAUAAGGUCGUAGCGCAGGGAUUCCGGUUAGGUCAUGUUAGUUAUGGGACCUUGAUCAAUGGGUUAUGUAAAGUUGGACAAACAAGUGCAGCCCUACAACUGCUGAGACGAGUUGAUGAGAAACUGGUUCAACCUACUGUGGUAAUGUACAGUGCAAUUAUUGAUAGUAUGUGCAAGGAUAAACUUGUUAAUCAUGCUUUUCAUUUAUACUCUGAAAUGAUUGCUAACAAACUUUCUCCUGAUGUAGUCACUUACAAUACUUUAAUUAAUGGCUUUUGUAUCGUAGGUCGGUUAAAAGAAGCAAUUCAUUUGUUUAAUAAAAUGGUAUCGGAAAACAUCAACCAUAAUAUUUAUACCUUCACUACGUUGGUUGAUGGAUUUUGUAAGGAAGGAAAAGUGAAAGAAGCUAAAAAUAUGUUUGCUAUGAUGAUGAGAAAAGGUGUUAAACCUGAUGUUGUUACUUAUAACUCUUUAAUGGAUGGAUAUUGCUUAGUUAAAGAAAUUAACAAGGCCAAUGGUAUAUUCAACACUAUGGCUCAGAUGGGAGUGGCUCCUGAUGGUCAUAGCUACAAUAUCAUGAUUAAUGGAUUUUGUAAGAUUAAAAUGGUAGAUGAAGCCAUCAAUCUCUUCAAUGAAAUGCAUUGCAGAAAAAUUAUACCUGAUGUGGUAACUUACAAUUCCCUUAUUGAUGGUUUGUGCAAAUCAGGAAGAAUCUCAUAUGCUUUGGAGCUUGUCAAUGAGAUGCAUGAUAGAGGUCAACCACCUGAUAUAAUUACUUAUUGUUCUAUAUUAGAUGCUUUAUGCAAAAAUCACCAUGUUGACAAGGCAAUUGCUUUAUUAACAAAAAUUAAAGAUAUGGGUAUUCAACCAAACAUGUGCACAUAUAAUAUUCUUAUUGAUGGAUUGUGUAAAGGUGGAAGAUUGAAUGACGCUCAAAAGGUUUUUGAGGAUCUUCUGGUCAAAGGCUACAAUCUUGAUGUCUAUACAUAUACUGCUAUGAUCCAUGGGUUUUGUAAAAAUGGGUUGCUUGAUGAAGCAUUGGCCAUACUAUCAAAACUGAAAGACAAUAGUUGCAUUCCAAACGCCGCAACAUAUGAAAUUAUUAUCCGUUCUCUAUUUGAUAACGAUGAAAAUGAUAAGGCGGAGAAACUUCUUCGUGAAAUGAUUUCAAGAGGUCUGUUGUAAGACUAAAACUAGGUAUGAUAUUUGUCUACUGUACAUUAUUAUUUUGAAUUUGUGUUUCAACAUUGUUUCAUCAUUUCAUUUAUGUAGUUGCUUCACCCAAUGGAAUGAAGGGUUUUGUUAUUUCUUUUGGCUAAGUGUGUUUAUAUUUCCCGACUACUUGAUCGGCAUGUUCCAACUUGGAGAAAUUGGUAGGAUAUGAAAAUUAUUAAUGUCAUAAGAGUGUUGUUGGGUUCAAUUUGUACUAAUUGUAUUACACUUGCUCUAGCCAAUGUUUUUUUUAUCAACAAUAGCUAAUAUCUAGAAACUUUAUAUAGUCAAAAUUUCAUUUCAAUACAGAAGUAGAAUACAUGUGAUAUCUGAGGGAAUUGGAUCAUGGAUACAGGUCUAGAGACUGAAAGCAAACUUGUUAUGGCUUGGGAAAUAUAAUAUCUUGUUAUUCCUUGCAUUAUCAUGACCAAAGAAGUAACUAGUUAUGGCUUGGUUUGUGAGUUUAAUACUUGAAAUGAUUAUGUGUGUGGCUUGUAAUGAAAUUAUUAGCUGAAACGUUUCUCUGCAAUAUCUGUUUUGCUGCCAAAUUCUAAUGUCUGCACUUUUUGGACAGAAUUUAUUGUUCUUAAUUGAGCUUAAGAAGAGGUGUUGGUCGUAGGAAACUGGGUUAAUUAAGAUUUGUUCUGUUGAGCCUAUCUUAGGGAUACUAAAUUGAAUUGGGACAGAACAACAAGAGAAAGGAGUUGGAGCUAGUGCAACCUCCUCCUUGUCAGUAGCAAAGAAUCGAUGCGGAUUUCAAAUCAUCAAUAGUAAAGUACACAUUUUUUACCUUAUCAUGUUAAAAUAUUUAUACAAAUUAUAGUGGAGGUGUUUACUUUUUGUGUUGUCUGCCAACAAUCAAAGUCAUUUUUCACAUCAUCACAAAAUAUUUAAACCUCAAACAACAAAAACAGUGUUGGUAGCAUUUGGAUCAUAUGUUUGCGGAGAAAAUAGUUAUUAAAAAACACUCGAGACUCUCUAGAUGCGGUUUUGUAUUUUGCACUUUUGUUUUUUGACACAUUGUUUUUAAACUUGCACAUUGACACACAUUGUUUCUUUCAAAUUAUCAAACACUAUGGCAGUAUGGCUCAGAUGGGUCAUGGGAGUGGCUCCUAACGUUCGGAGCUACACUAUCGUGAUUAAUGGAUUUUGUAAGAUUAAAAUGGUAGAUGAAGCCAUUAAUCUCUUCAAUGAAAUGCAUAGCAGAAAAAUUAUUCCUAAUGUGGUAUCGUACACUACUCUUAUUGAUGGAUCGUGUAAUGUUGGAAGACUAGAGGAUGCACUAGAGAUUUUCAAAGAUCUUUUGGUCAAAGGCUACAAUCUAAAUGUCUAUACAUAUACCAUUAUAAUCAAGGGAUUUUGCAAAACGGGAAUGUUUGACGAAGCAUUGACCAUGCUAUCAAAAUGGAAGACACUGGUUGCAUUCUGAAUGCUAAAGCUUAUGAAACAGUUAUUUUUUCCCUCCUUAAAAAAGGUGAAAAUUGUAAAGCAUAGAAGCUUUCUUCGUGAAAUGAUUGCAAGCAUGGUUGUCAGGAUCUAGAUCCCACUAAAGAUCGUUGGGGUAAAGAAAGAUCGUAAAUCGUAGGAUCGUAAUAAGGAUCGUAAGAUCCCACAAAUUUUCUUAAACAUAAAAACUUCAUUAAUAUUAAACAUAAUCUUAAACAUAAAAACUUCAAUACUCUUUAACAUAACCAAAAUAGCUUAGACUUAAAAACUAGAACAUAGAAAAAUAAGUAUUUUUCCAAUAAGUAUUUUUCCAUAAACUCCUCCAAUAAGUAUUUUUCCACAGUAGUUACAUUUGAUUUUUCUUGUUCCUCCAUCAACAGAAACUCCAUGUUUCCAAGCAAUAUCAUUUCGGUUUCCUUUUGAAUUUUUCGGAACUCUAGGGGGUGCAGAUGAGGAGGCACCAACAAGAGAAGACAUGAUUGAAAAUUUGAAAGGAAAUAAGAUGAAUUGAAUAAUUAGCAACCAUUAAUGAAAUUAGUGAUACGGUUGAUGAAUAGAGAUAGGGAUGCAAGGCUCGAUGCAAAAUUCCCAGUUCCACAUGAUAUUUUUGAUACGCAAUCAUGUUUAUAGGUGAAACUGUUCCUUUUCCCCACGUAAUCAGGGUUAGAUGCAGCUUUUUAGGUGAAGCGGUUCGUUUUCGGGUCGGGUCAGUGUAAUUUGAACCGGGUAAAAAACAUAUCAAAUGGGUCGGGGCGAAACGGGUUGAAUUGAAUCUUUAUAAACCCAUAACUAAAAAACGCGUGGAAGAUCUCUGCUUUCACGAUCUUACGAUGUUUCUCUGCGCUUUCACCUGUUCCUCCAUUCUUGCGAUCUUCUCUGCGCUCCAGCACUUUGGCUCACCCCCAACACGUAAGAUCGUGGGAUCUCACGAUUUAACUAUAGAUCUUAACAACCAUGAUUGCAAGAGAUCUACUGUAUGAUCAAGAUGUUAGAAAUAAAGUUUUAAUCCUUCUACUGAAGUCUACCAGGAACAAAUAGGUUAUCAUUUUUUUCCCUACAUUGCAUUGCAUUUAUCCUUUGGAUUUGUGUGUCUGCCCUUCCUUCUGACCAUCUUAAUAGAACUAAUCUUGCAAUUUCUGAUAAAUUUUGAAAACAUUUUCCAAAUGCUGAAACAUUGAUGUUGGGUUGCACUUCAAAAUUCCAGUGCCCAAGUCUGGGAACAAUGAUUUCAGUCCCCAAAAGUUAAAAAAUCCAAGCACUGUCUUGAUAGGUUGGACAUUUAUUGUUUACUGAUGUCAUUGAAAUUUGUUUCUUCAUAACCAAUCAUGGAAGCAUUGUCCUUUCAGUUCACGUUGCUAUUUUGUUGUCUGCCAUUAUGUGCAAGACUUUAAAUUAUGCUCAAGUUACUUUGGCAGCUGAUUCUGUUGUUAUAAUUUUAGCUUCAGAAUCAUAUUUUCAGUAAUAAAAUGGAUUGCUUUUGGUUCAUAUUUAGCUAGUAGGGUUCCCUCCUUCUUUUAAAGUAGUUUUUCAUGUUCUGUCAAUUUUAUCUGUUUGAAUAUAUAUGUAAGUAUCUAUCCAAAUGGUCGAUGUCACAAGAAAUUCUGUUUUGUAAGUAUCUUUUAUAGCAAGUCUCCUUUUUGGAGGACAUGAAAUUGAAAGAUGGUUUAGCAUUAUGAUUCUUCUCAUGCUUAGUUGUUUUAGACUAGCAUGAUGAUAGUUGGUUUGUGUAGAUACUUAUCCUUUUAUAUAAGCAUGAUGUGUUGAUUAGGUUCUGAUAUCAACACACUAUAUUUACUGAGUAUGUAUAUGUAUGUCUCUUUAUAUUAUGACAGGAUUGAUUUAUGAUA